rnacentral:rRNA from 1 species
GAUCAACGCUGGCGGCGUGCUUAACACAUGCAAGUCGAACGAAGUUUUUCCUUCGGGAGCAACUUAGUGGCGGACGGGUGAGUAACGCGUGGGUAACCUGCCCUGUACAGGGGGACAACAGCUGUAAACGGCUGCUAAUACCGCAUAAGCCCUUAGCACUGCAUGGUGCAUAGGGAAAAGGAGCAAUCCGGUACAGGAUGGACCCGCGUCUGAUUAGCCAGUUGGCAGGGUAACGGCCUACCAAAGCGACGAUCAGUAGCCGAUCUGAGAGGAUGUACGGCCACAUUGGGACUGAGACACGGCCCAGACUCCUACGGGAGGCAGCAGUGGGGAAUAUUGCACAAUGGAGGAAACUCUGAUGCAGCGACGCCGCGUGAGUGAAGAAGUAUUUCGGUAUGUAAAGCUCUAUCAGCAGGGAAGAAAAUGACGGUACCUGACUAAGAAGCACCGGCUAAAUACGUG